rnacentral:rRNA from 1 species
GGCGUAGGCGGCCUGUCAAGUCGGAUGUGAAAUCUCCCGGCUUAACUGGGAGGGUGCGUUCGAUACUGAUGGGCUAGAGUGCAGUAGAGGAAAGCGGAAUUUCCGGUGUAGUGGUGAAAUGCGUAGAUAUCGGGAAGAACACUAGUGGCGAAGGCGGCUUUCUGGGCUGUAACUGACGCUGAGGUCCGAAGGCGUGGGGAGCGAACA